rnacentral:rRNA from 1 species
GGUGAACGCUGGCGGCGUGCUUAAGACAUGCAAGUCGAACGGCAGUCUUCGGACUGUAGUGGCGCACGGGUGAGUAACGCGUAACUGACCUACCCCGAAGUCUCGGAUAACGAUUCGAAAGAAUCGCUAAUACGUGAUGCGUCGUCAGAUUGUGUUCUGCCCGCAAAGAUUGCUUGCUUUGGGAUGGGGUUGCGUUCCAUGAGCGAGUGUGUGGGGUAAAGGCCCACCAAGGCGACGACGGAUAGCCGGCCGGAUAGGGUGGCCGGCCACAGGGGCACUGAGACACGGGUCCCACUCCUACGGGAGGCAGCAGUUAGGGAUCUUCCACAAUGGGCGAAAGCCUGAUGGAGCGACGCCGCGUGAGGGAUGAAGGUCUUCGGAUCGUAAACCUCUGAAUCAGGGACGAAAGACACUUCGGUGGGAUGACGGUACCUGAGUAAUAGCACCGGCUAACUCCGUGCCAGCCGCCGCGGUAAGAC